rnacentral:rRNA from 1 species
CUACGGGAGGCAGCAGUGGGGAAUCUUAGACAAUGGGCGCAAGCCUGAUCUAGCCAUGCCGCGUGAGUGACGAAGGCCUUAGGGUCGUAAAGCUCUUUCGCUGGAGAAGAUAAUGACGGUAUCCAGUAAAGAAACCCCGGCUAACUCCGUGCCAGCAGCCGCGGUAAUACGGAGGGGGUUAGCGUUGUUCGGAAUUACUGGGCGCAAAGCGCGCGUAGGCGGAUCAGAAAGUUGGGGGUGAAAUCCCAGGGCUCAACCCGGGAACUGCCCUCAAAACUCCUGGUCUUGAGUUCGAGAGAGGUGAGUGGAAUUCCGAGUGUAGAGGUGAAAUUCGUAGAUAUUCGGAGGAACACCAGUGGCGAAGGCGGCUCACUGGCUCGAUACUGACGCUGAGGUGCGAAAGCGUGGGGAGCAAACAGGAUUAGAUACCCGCGUAGUC